rnacentral:rRNA from 1 species
AUCAUUACUGAGUUACCGCUCUAUAACCCUUUGUGAACAUACCUAACCGUUGCUUCGGCGGGCAGGGGAAGCCUCUCGCGGGCCUCCCCUCCCGGCGCCGGCCCCACCACGGGGACGGGGCGCCCGCCGGAGGAAACCAAACUCUAUUUACACGACGUCUCUUCUGAGUGGCACAAGCAAAUAAUUAAAACUUUUAACAACGGAUCUCUUGGUUCUGGCAUCGAUGAAGAACGCAGCGAAAUGCGAUAAGUAAUGUGAAUUGCAGAAUUCAGUGAAUCAUCGAAUCUUUGAACGCACAUUGCGCUCGCCAGCAUUCUGGCGAGCAUGCCUGUUCGAGCGUCAUUUCAACCCUCAAGCACCGCUUGGUUUUGGGGCCCCACGGCACACGUGGGCCCUUAAAGGUAGUGGCGGACCCUCCCGGAGCCUCCUUUGCGUAGUAACUAACGUCUCGCACUGGGAUCCGGAGGGACUCUUGCCGUAAAACCCCCCAAUUUUUUACAGGUUGACCUCGGAUCAGGUAGGAAUACCCGCUGAACUUAAGCAUAUCAAUAAGCGGAGGAAAAAC